rnacentral:rRNA from 1 species
GAUGAACGCUGGCGGCGUGCCUAAUACAUGCAAGUCGAGCGAACAGACGAGGAGCCUGCUCCUCUGACGUUAGCGGCGGACGGGUGCGUAACACGUGGAUAACCUACCUAUAAGACUGGGAUAACUUCGGGAAACCGGAGCUAAUACCGGAUAACAUAUUGAACCGCAUGGUUCAAUAGUGAAAGACGGUUUUGCUGUCACUUAUAGGUGGAUCCGCGCCGCAUUAGCUAGAUGGUAAGGUAACGGCUUACCAAGGCAACGAUGCGUAGCCGACCUGAGAGGGUGGUCGGCCACACUGGAACUGAGACACGGUCCAGACUCCUACGGGAGGCAGCAGUAGGGAAUCUUCCGCAAUGGGCGAAAGCCUGACGGAGCAACGCCGCGUGAGUGAUGAAGGUCUUCGGAUCGUAAAACUCUGUUAUUAGGGAAGAACAAAUGUGUAAGUAACGAUGCACGUCUUGACGGUACCUAAUCAGAGAGCCACGGCUAACUACGUG